rnacentral:rRNA from 1 species
AUGGCGACGGGAAUAACAGAGUGCUCUCCGGCCUUCUUGGUCGCUGCCGGCCUCGCGGUGCUAGCGAUCUGCUCGUACCUUGCCGUCGUCCUCGGCCGCGACGGCUUCGCCGGAGCGAAGCGGUACCCGCCCGCGGUCGGCACGGUGUUCCACCAGGUAUACCACCUCCGGCGGCUGCACGAUUACUACACGGACCUGUUCCGCGAGCACAUGACGUUCCGGCUGCUCUCACCGGGACGGGGGCAGAUUUACACGUCCGACCCGGCGGUGGUCGAACACAUCCUCAAGACUAACUUCUCCAACUACGGCAAGGGCGAGUCUAACUACGAGAACACGAGCGAUCUCUUCGGCGACGGUAUCUUCGCGGUGGACGGCGACAAGUGGAAGCAGCAGAGGAAGAUCGCCAGCUACGACUUCUCGACGAGGGCCCUCCGGGACUUCAGCGGCGGCGUCUUCAACAAGAACGCUGCCAAGCUCGCGCACAUCGUCUCCGACAACGCGGCGGCGAAGCAGCCCAUGGACUUUCAGGCCUUGCUGAUGAAAGCGACGAUGGAUUCCAUCUUCACCAUCGCCUUCGGCCUGGACCUCAACACGCUGUCCGGGGCGGCGGCGGACGAGGGGAGCCGCUUCGCCGCGGCGUUCGACGACGCCAGCGAGUUCAUCCUGCUCCGCUUCGUCAACGCGUUCUGGAAGGUGGCGAGGUUCCUCAACGUCGGCGCGGAGUCGGCUCUGAGGCACAGGAUCAAGGUCGUCGACGAGUUCGCGUACAAGCACAUCCGUGCCAGGGCCGACGAGAUGUCCGCCGGCAAGGCACACGACGCCGAGUCGAAGUGUGAUUUGCUGUCGAGGUUCAUACAGGCGACGACCAGCGAGUCCGGGGAGGUGGAUUACAAGUACCUGAGAGACAUCAUAAUGAACAUCGUCAUAGCCGGCAAGGACACGACCGCCGGAGCGCUUGCCUGGUUCCUCUACAUGAUGUGCAAGCACCCGGAGGUGCAGGAGAGGAUCAGCGAGGAGGCCAGGGAGGCUGCCGACGCCGGCGAGGCCGCGUCCAUCGACGACUUCUCGCAGAGCCUGACCGACGAGGCGCUGAACAAGAUGCACUACCUGCACGCCGCCCUGACAGAGACUCUCAGACUGUACCCCUCGGUCCCGUUGGAUAACAAGGAGUGCUUUUCGGACGACGUUCUGCCCAACGGCUUCAGCGUCGGCAAGGGAGACAUGGUGUUCUACGCCCCCUACGCCAUGGGCCGGAUGGAGCGCCUGUGGGGUGAGGACGCCCAAGUCUUCCGGCCCGAGCGGUGGCUAGACGAACACGGCGUGUUCCAGCCAGAAAGCCCUUUCAAAUUCACAGCUUUCCAGGCUGGUCCAAGGAUCUGCCUGGGAAAGGAAUUCGCGUACAGGCAGAUGAAGAUCUUCGCAGCCGUGCUGCUCCGUUUCUUCGUGCUGGCUCUGCGCGACAAGGACGCGAGCGUCAACUACAGGACCAUGAUCACGCUCUACAUCGAGCAGGGUCUCCAUCUCACGGCUGUGGCGAGAUGA